rnacentral:rRNA from 1 species
ACCCUACGGGAGGCAGCAGUGGGGAAUAUUGCACAAUGGGGGAAACCCUGAUGCAGCGACGCCGCGUGAGCGAAGAAGUAUUUCGGUAUGUAAAGCUCUAUCAGCAGGGAAGAAAAUGACGGUACCUGAGUAAGAAGCUCCGGCUAAAUACGUGCCAGCAGCCGCGGUAAUACGUAUGGAGCAAGCGUUAUCCGGAUUUACUGGGCGUAAAGAGAGCGUAGGCGGCCUGCCAAGUCUGAUGUGAAAUACCGGGGCUCAACCCCGGGGCUGCAUUGGAAACUGUUGAACUGGAGUACAGGAGAGGG